rnacentral:rRNA from 1 species
GCGGCCCUACGGGGCGCAGCAGUGAGGAAUAUUGGUCAAUGGGCGGAAGCCUGAACCAGCCAAGUCGCGUGAGGGAAUAAGGCCCUACGGGUCGUAAACCUCUUUUGCCGGGGAGCAAGGGCGGGGACGUGUCCCGGCCCGGAGAGUACCCGGAGAAAAAGCAUCGGCUAACUCCGUGCCAGCAGCCGCGGUAAUACGGAGGAUGCGAGCGUUAUCCGGAUUUAUUGGGUUUAAAGGGUGCGUAGGCGGGGUUUUAAAUCAGAGGUAAAAAUUCGGGGCUCAACCCCGUCC